rnacentral:rRNA from 1 species
CCUACGGGGGGCUGCAGUGGGGAAUCUUGGACAAUGGGCGCAAGCCUGAUCCAGCCAUGCCGCGUGAGUGAAGAAGGCCUUAGGGUUGUAAAACUCUUUCGCCGGAGAAGAUAAUGACGGUAUCCGGAGAAGAAGCCCCGGCUAACUUCGUGCCAGCAGCCGCGGUAAUACGAAGGGGGCUAGCGUUGUUCGGAAUUACUGGGCGUAAAGCGCACGUAGGCGGGUUUGUAAGUAGAGGGUGAAAUCCCAGGGCUCAACCCCGGAACUGCCUUCUAGACUGCAAGCCUGGAGGUCAGGAGAGGCGAGUGGAAUACCGAGUGUAGAGGUGAAAUUCGUAGAUAUUCGGUGGAACACCAGUGGCGAAGGCGACUCGCUGGACUGAUACUGCCGCUGAGGUGCGAAAGCGUGGGGAGCAAACAGGAUUAGAUACCCGAGUAGUC